rnacentral:rRNA from 1 species
UUUAGUUGGGCACUCUAAAGUGACUGCCGGUGCAAGCCGGAGGAAGGUGGGGAUGACGUCAAAUCAUCAUGCCCCUUAUGACCUGGGCUACACACGUGCUACAAUGGAUAGUACAAAGGGUCGCGAAGCCGCGAGGUGGAGCUAAUCCCAUAAAACUAUUCUCAGUUCGGAUUGUAGGCUGCAACUCGCCUACAUGAAGCCGGAAUCGCUAGUAAUCGUGGAUCAGCAUGCCACGGUGAAUACGUUCCCGGGCCUUGUACACACCGCCCGUCACACCACGAGAGUUUGUAACACCCGAAGUCGGUAGGGUAACCUUUAUGGAGCCAGCCGCCGAAGGUGGGACAGAUAAUUGGGGUGAAGUCGUAACAAGGUAGCCGUAUCGGAAGGUGCGGCUGGAUCACCUCCUUU